AUUGAACGCUGGCGGCAGGCUUAACACAUGCAAGUCGAGCGGAGAUGAGGUGCUUGCACCUUAUCUUAGCGGCGGACGGGUGAGUAAUGCUUAGGAAUCUGCCUAUUAGUGGGGGACAACAUUCCGAAAGGAAUGCUAAUACCGCAUACGCCCUACGGGGGAAAGCAGGGGAUCUUCGGACCUUGCGCUAAUAGAUGAGCCUAAGUCAGAUUAGCUAGUUGGUGGGGUAAAGGCCUACCAAGGCGACGAUCUGUAGCGGGUCUGAGAGGAUGAUCCGCCACACUGGGACUGAGACACGGCCCAGACUCCUACGGGAGGCAGCAGUGGGGAAUAUUGGACAAUGGGCGAAAGCCUGAUCCAGCCAUGCCGCGUGUGUGAAGAAGGCCUUUUGGUUGUAAAGCACUUUAAGCGAGGAGGAGGCUACCGAGAUUAAUACUCUUGGAUAGUGGACGUUACUCGCAGAAUAAGCACCGGCUAACUCUGUGCCAGCCGCCGCGGUAAUAC
rnacentral:rRNA from 1 species